CCCUGGCGACGAGUGGCGGACGGGUGAGGAAUGCUUGGGAAUCUGCCUGUUAGUGGGGGACAACCCGGGGAAACCCGGGCUAAUACCGCAUACGCUCUACGGAGGAAAGCGGGGGACCGUAAGGCCUCGCGCUAACAGAUGAGCCCAAGUCGGAUUAGCUAGUUGGUGGGGUAAAAGCCUACCAAGGCUACGAUCCGUAGCUGGUCUGAGAGGACGAUCGGCCACACUGGGACUGAGACACGGCCCAG
rnacentral:rRNA from 1 species